CCUUCAGAGCUUAUAUUACUUGCAGUGAAUCUCUGAGGGUUGGGAUUUAGGGCUUUGCAUUUUCAUCAGCUGCUGGGAUACAAACGUUUUUAAAGCGUUUUCUUUCUUUUCUUUUUGUCUUUUUAUGGCCACAUCUGCAGCAUAUGGAUGUUCCCAGGCUAGGGGUCGAAUCAGAGCUGCGGCUGCUGGCCUGCACUACAGCCACACCAGAUCCGAGCCACACCUGUGACCCAUGCAGCAGCUUGCGGUAACACCAGAUCCUUAACCAACUGAGCAAGACCAGGCAUUGAACCCUCAUCCUCAUGGACACUAUGUCAGGUUCUUAACCCUCUAAGACACAAUGGGAACUCCAAAGCGCCCAUUUCUGAUAGCUAGAAUGCCUCAACGGCAUCCUCAUAGAUCUUUAGCCCCAUCAAGACCCAGUUGACACUACAAAGUGGAACCUUCCCCACCUGUCUCCCGACCCCAGGGCAGAUGCUUGAAGACCUUCACCUUCCCCUGGCAAUGCAGGGCUGCCCAGAGUGCAUCUGUAUUGAUGCCGACCAGUAACAAGAGGGCAGGCCCCAGCCUCUGGCAUCCUCUCACAGGCCCCUCUGGACCUCUGUCUUGCGCAGGCCUUUCCAGCGCAGCUGCGGAAAAGUCAGCUGCCCCAGCAAGUUGCCUGGAGACCCGGGAGGCCUCCAGGUGCCGGCCUCUUUCGCUUCUUCGCUGCAGGGCCUUUUGCAGGCCCUGCCACACAUUCACCUGAGUUCUUGGCUCUCACUCCCCGCGCCUUCCCUGACAAGCCUGCAAAGUGGGGAAUGUAAGAGCCAGAAUUAAUUAGGCAAAUGUCAGGCGGGCGUGAGUCACAGCAGCCCAGAGUAUUUUAGGCCAUUACGAAUAGGAUCCCUCCCGGUAAGGAGGGGCUUGCAGCAUCACGCCGCCCCCACAGGUGCUGAUUUAGGAGCAGCGCUAGAGGGCGUCUUUCGUUGCCAGGGCAGGCUCCAGCCAGGUCUCUGAAGGCCUGUCUGGGUGGGUAGGAGGUGGGGGCUUGUGACCCUACCCGUCAGUGGGAAUCCUUGUCAGAGAUAUUCCGAUGCUUGGAUACCGACUAAACAGCCCAAGCCGAACUAAAGGCUUGUGUAGGCUAUAAACUGGAAGCCCCCCAUUAACUAGAAAGGGCAGAGCAGAAGGGAGAAUUCUCAGAGGCUUUAGGGGAACCAACAACCUGCCCAUCUUGAGUGUCUUCUUUGAUCCCUGCCCCCCCUGCCUUAGAUUCAAUGAGCCAGAUUCUCACUCUGUUAUUCUCUAAGCAGGAGAAGCAUCAGUGAAACGGUUGUGAUUUCUUACGGGAUGCUUUGGCUUAUAAGAAGCUUUGGCUGAGUCCUUCCCUCCCUGCCCUGCCCAGAUCUGCUCUCUUCUUCCCCUGCCACCAGCCUCACUCCCCCAAACCAGGCCAUGGUUGUCAAAUAAGUGUGAAAACUAGGAGGAGUCUUCGGGAACCAUUUUCCUACCUCUUAAUAAGUUUCAUUCAUUCAGCAAAAUUAUUUACAAUGGUAUCCUGCUCCAUACUGUUGGUAAGUGAAUUUGCCAUAAAUACUGCUCUUGGUAGUUUUAAUCCAGGAAGGGACAUGCACGUUCUGAAAUAGAAUAAUAUGGAGUUGGAGUUCCCAUUGUGGCUCAGAGGGUUAAGAACUCGAUACUGUCUGAGGAUGUGGAUUCAAUCCCUGACCUCACUCAGUAGGUUAAGGAUCUGGUGUUGCCAAAGCCUGAAGCAUAGAUUGCAGCUGCAACUUGGAUCGGGUGUUGGUGUGGCUAUGACGUAGGUCAGCAACCUCAGCUCCAAUUUGACCCUAGCCUGGGAAUGUCCAUAUGCUGCAGGUGUGGCUGUAAAAAAAAGAAAAAAAAAAA
rnacentral:lncRNA from 1 species